UACAGAGGUCCCAAGCGUUGUUCGGAUUCAUUGGGCGUAAAGGGUGCGUAGGCGGCGCGGUAAGUCGGGUGUGAAAUCUCGGAGCUUAACCCCGGGUCUGCAUUCGAUACGGGCUAGCUAGAGUGUGGUAGGGGAGAUCGGAAUUCCUGGUGUAGCGGUGAAAUGCGCAGAUAUCAGGAGGAACACCGGUGGCGAAGGCGGAUCUCUGGGCCAUUACUGACGCUGAGGAGCGAAAGCGUGGGGAGCGAACAGG
rnacentral:rRNA from 1 species